AACCAGUCCAAGUGCAGUGGUAUUAAUAUUUACAACUAAUCACAAGCAGUUACAGAUGUCUUUGUUCCUUCUCCACUCCCACUGUUUCACUUGACUAUC
rnacentral:Y_RNA from 1 species